AUGUGUAUAUUCCAGACUAGGGGUUUGGGGGGAUCAUAUUUUGGGGAUCACCUUACAUUUAAUAUAUGCUCUCUGAUUAAAAUGUUCCAAAACACAAACCCUGACCCACUCAUAAAACUGUCUACUCUCUAUUUUCAAGAUAACUCCUUCUUUAAAAGGAAGAGAAUUUCUUUUCAUGUGGACUAUAAGAAAUACAACACUGAGAGUCAGAAAGCUUGGAUUCCAAAGAUGAUUGCAACGAGAUUGGAUCAUAUGAUUCUGAAAUCCUGUGAUCUUCUAAGAAAUAUGAUCAGUGAAUCCAGAUUUGAGAGAAUUGGCGAGUUCUGUGGAGAAAGAAGGAGCUUGGAGGAAUGGCCCUUGAAGAGUGCUGUGCUCAGGGUAUCAUCCCAGAAACUUAGAUAAUACUUUAAGGCCAUGUCCACUAGUUAAUAUAACAUGGAGAAAAAAUGCCGAUGAAGAUAGGUAUGGAGCCCAGAACUGUCUGAUGUCUUCCUGCAGCCUGAAGACUGUGCUAUCUCCUUCCCACACUGAUGCAUCAGCUCUCAAGAGGCUCCAGGAAAAUAAUCAGAAAGCAAUAAAGCUGCCUUGUAGAGCUAUGACCCUCUACCUCUUUUUUCUCCCCAGCUUUAUUGAGCUAUAACUGACAAAUAAACAUUAUAUAUAUUUAAGGUGUACAACUUGAUGUUUUGAUAUACACAUACAUUGUGAUAUAAUCACCACAAUCAAGUUAAUUAACAUAUUCAUCUUUUAAACUUCCAGUAGAUGGGUCCUGAUUCCCUGCACAACUCUUUGUUGUAACAAAAUAUGCUAAUUAGCUGAUUGGAAUUUCAAAAACCCUAUUCACCAACAGCUCAACUGUUACAGCUGAAUGGAUGGCAAGUUCACUCAAGCAGCCAGUGGUUUAUUCAUUCCUCUGCUCAAUUAGGUCCCUAGAAUGCUCAUGUUGGAAAGGAAAUUAAUGAUCAACUAAUUAAUCCACCCGUCUAAAAUUGAGUAGACUGAAGCUUAGUGAAAUGGAACUUGGGUGAGGUCACGCUGACAGUCAGCAACAAAGCCUGAGCAGAAGCCAUUUUGGUUUUGAUAUUUUAUUACCAAAGAAUGUAAAUUUUUUUUUAAUUUUAGGGUUUUAAGGACAUCCAAGAUAAAGAAUCAAACUGAAACUUUCCCUUCUCAAACAAUUAUUUCUGAUUCUUUGAUCUUGGGAAAACUGUACUUACCUUGCUGAAUUUGGAAGCCACAUCCCAAAAGGCUCUAAUGUACAUAAAAGUUAGUUACAAUACAAAUCAUGAACGUAAAGCAAAUGCAACAUCUAUGGCUUAGGGGGAGAAUUACCAGGGCUAAUCUUCAGGUGCCUUUGCAAGACUACCUAAUUUUCUAUGAAUAAUUUUGCACAGAAAAUUUUUUAGUUUUCUACUCCAACCUGUAUAAACUUCAGGACCCACAAAAUCUGAUUUGCCCUUAGGUAACUCUCUAAGGGAUCAUGGUGGGAAUGCUUGGAGUCCAUUGAUUUGGAUUCAGUUCUCUGUCACCUGCUACCAGGCUGACCUUGGAGAGGUUACUAAAGAUCUUAGUAUAUCUGUUUCCUCACUUAUAAAAGGCAGAUAAUGAAACUGAUCUCCUAGAGUUGUUGCACACCAUAAGCAACGUAAGGUGGGAAAAGUCUCCAGUCUAAUGCCUGGCCCAGAACAAACCUGCAAUAAAGGGGCUUUUGCCUUAUGCAGGGAGGUUGUCGGAUAUAGCAAUUAAGAAAGUGGGCCUUAGAACCAGGUAUACCGGUAUUCAAAUUCCUGUUUUAUAUUACAGUACUUACUGUAUUAUCUUGGGCAACUUAGUAUUUCUGAGCCCUAGUUUUUUCUAAAACCUAAUCAAUACAGUAGUUUGAGAUUAAAUGAGAUGAUGUAAAGUGCUCAUCAGAGUUGCUUUUGCCUUCAAGUAACAUCAAGAACAAACAUUUAAAAUAGCUUAAAACAGUGACUUUUCAUCUUUUUUGAUGAAUAAGAAAUAGAUCUUACAUUGUUCCUCAGUGUAAAAAUACACAUUAUCACAGGACUAACAUGUGAAUCAAAUUUGAUUAUGUAUAUGAUCAAGCUUCAUAUAGUAUUCUAGAAUGGUAAAAUAAGAGCAUGGUAUCUGAAUUCAGGCAUUUCCCAAAAUAUGCCACAAUAGCAUUGGUAUCCCAAUAUGUGACGUGCUUGUAUUUUUCUUCUAUAUCAUU
ensembl:lncRNA